rnacentral:rRNA from 1 species
GAAAGUUACUUCGGUACAUCGGUGACAGGUGGUGCAUGGUUGUCGUCAGCUCGUGUCGUGAGAUGUUGGGUUAAGUCCCGCAACGAGCGCAACCCCUAUUGUUAGUUGCCAUCAUUCAGUUGGGCACUCUAGCGAGACUGCCGGUAAUAAACCGGAGGAAGUGGGGAUGACGUCAAAUCAUCAUGCCCCUUAUGACCUGGGCUACACACGUGCUACAAUGGUUGGUACAACGAGUUGCGAGUCGGUGACGGCGAGCUAAUCUCUUAAAGCCAAUCUCAGUUCGGAUUGUAGGCUGCAACUCGCCUACAUGAAGUCGGAAUCGCUAGUAAUCGCGGAUCAGCACGCCGCGGUGAAUACGUUCCCGGGCCUU